rfam:Pteropus alecto contig103461, whole genome shotgun sequence.
GUCUACGGCCAUGCCACCCUGAACAAGCCCGACCCCGUCUGAUCUCAGAAGCUAAGCAGGGUCGGGCCUGGUUAGUACUUGGAUGGGAGACCACCUAAGAAGACCAGGUGCUGUAGGUG